GACGAACGCUGGCGGCGUGCUUAACACAUGCAAGUCGUACGGUAAGGCCCUUUCGGGGGUCCACGAGUGGCGCACGGGUGAGCAACACGUGAGUAACCUGCCCACAACUUUGGGAUAACGCUAGGAAACUGGUGCUAAUACUGGAUAUGUGCCCCUGCUGCAUGGUGGGGGUUGGAAAGCUCCGGCGGUUGUGGAUGGACUCGCGGCCUAUCAGCUUGUUGGUGGGGUAGUGGCCUACCAAGGCGGCGACGGGUAGCCGGCCUGAGAGGGUGACCGGCCACAUUGGGACUGAGAUACGGCCCAGACUCCUACGGGAGGCAGCAGGGGGGAAUAUUGCACAAUGGGCGCAAGCCUGAUGCAGCAACGCCGCGUGCGGGAUGACGGCCUUCGGGUUGUAAACCGCUUUCAGCAGGGACGAAGCUUUUUGUGACGGUACCUGCAGAAGAAGCACCGGCUAACUACGUG
rnacentral:rRNA from 1 species